CGGGACGUGGCGCAGCUUGGUAGCGCUCGCGGCUGGGGGCCGCGCGGUCGUCGGUUCGAAUCCGGCCGUCCCGACCA
rnacentral:tRNA from 1 species